GUCCAGACUCCUACGGGAGGCAGCAGUGAGGAAUAUUGGUCAAUGGCCGGAAGGCUGAACCAGCCAAGUCGCGUGAGGGAAUAAGGCCCUAUGGGUCGUAAACCUCUUUUGUCAGGGAGCAAAGGCGUCCACGUGUGGACGAGAGGAGAGUACCCGAAGAAAAAGCAUCGGCUAACUCCGUGCCAGCAGCCGCGGUAAUACGGAGGAUGCGAGCGUUAUCCGGAUUUAUUGGGUUUAAAGGGUGCGUAGGCGGAACAUUAAGUCAGCGGUAAAAUCGAGGGGCUCAACCCCUUUAAGCCGUUGAAACUGGUGAUCUUGAGUGGGCGAGAAGUAUGCGGAAUGCGUGGUGUAGCGGUGAAAUGCAUAGAUAUCACGCAGAACUCCGAUUGCGAAGGCAGCAUACCGGCGCCCGACUGACGCUGAGGCACGAAGGCGUGGGUAUCGAACAGGAUUAGAUACCCCAGUAGUG
rnacentral:rRNA from 1 species